CUGACUUAUGGAAAUGUGUUUUUUAUUUUGGUUAUUGUUAAGUUUGUAAAAGGAAAGGUCACAUCAGAGAGAGGAACCAAGCAGGCAGACGGAAAGAAAUGUUUUUAAUUUUGGUUAUUGUUAAGUUUGUAAAAGGAAAGGUCACAUCAGAGAGAGGAACCAAGCAGGCAGACUUAUUUUCCUGUUUGUUAAAGGAAAGGUCACAUCAGAGAGAGGAACCAAGCAGGCAGACGGAAAAUCAUCAUGUGUUUUAAUAUUGGUUAUUGUGGUUUGUAAAAGGAAAGGUCACAUCAGAGAGAGGAACCAAGCAGAUAGUCAAUAUGUGUGAUUUUGUUGUUAUCCAAGGCAAGGUAACUUUUUUUAAUUUCUUGAUAAGUUUGUGAAAAGGAAAAGUCACAUCAGAGAGGAACCAAACAGUCCAUGUGUAGGAUUUUGUUGUUUCUCUCCUGGCAACUUUUGUUUCCUAGUUAUGUUAAAACGUUUUUGUAGUUUCUCUUUCCCUAUUCUCAUUCAGGUUUUAAUUCUUUUUCCUGGUCUUUUCUCUCCCUCCUCCUCCUCACUCUUUUAAUCCUUGAUAUUCCUGUUCUUCCUCCUCCUGUAUUCCUUCUGUUCUUCCUCCUCCUGUAUUCCUUCUGUUCUUCCUCCUCCUGUAUUCCUCCAUUCCCUGUAACUUAUUUUUCAUUAACCUUUUCCUUCUCUGUUCUUCCUCCUCAUCUUUCUACAUUUUUAACUUCUAUCUUUCCUCCUCUUUAUUCUACCUCUCUCCAAUUUUAAAACUUCCUCCUCCUCCUCCUCCUCCCUGGUCGUGUGUGUGAGUGUGUGUCUUGGCCCGGCCGUCACCACUAAACAUGUGAUAACCUCUACUAUAUAAUAUCUUUUUUAUAAUAAACUAUACUUAUGUACACCCAA